GACGAACGCUGGCGGCGUGCUUAACACAUGCAAGUCGAGCGGAAAGGCCCUGCUUGCGUGGGGUUCUCGAGUGGCGAACGGGAGAGUAACACAUGAGUAACCUUUCCUGGACUGUGGGAUAACUUCAGAAAACUGGGGCUACUACCUGCUAGGAGCGCCUGCUGCAUGGGGGGGGUCGGACAGUUUCGGCGGAUGGGGGUGGACUCGGGGCUUAGGAGCUAGUGGGGGGGGGAAUGGCUUACCAGGGGGUUGACGCGUAGCCGGCCUGGGAGGGUGACCAGCGACACUGGAAGGGAGACACGGACCAGGCGCCUGCGGGAGGCAGCAGUGGGGAAUGGGGGACAAUGGGGGGAAGUCUGAUCCAGCGGUGGGGCGUGUGUGAAGAAGGCCUUCGGAUGGGAAAGCACUUUUAGUUGGGAGAAAGGGCAGUAAGUUAAUACCUUGCUGUUUUGACGGUAACGACAAAAGAAGCACCGGCUAACUUCGUG
rnacentral:rRNA from 1 species